rnacentral:rRNA from 1 species
AUCUGGCUCAGGAUGAACGCUGGCGGCGUGCUUAACACAUGCAAGUCGAACGAAGCACUUUAUUUGAUUUCCUUCGGGACUGAUUAUUUUGUGACUGAGUGGCGGACGGGUGAGUAACGCGUGGGUAACCUGCCUUGUACAGGGGGAGUAACAGUUGGAAACGGCUGCUAAUACCGCAUAAGCGCACGGCAUCGCAUGAUGCAGUGUGAAAAACUCCGGUGGUAUAAGAUGGACCCGCGUUGGA